rnacentral:rRNA from 1 species
UGCCAGCCGCCGCGGUAAUACGGAGGGACCUAGCGUAGUUCGGAAUUACUGGGCGUAAAGCGCGCGUAGGCGGUUAGAUAAGUCAGAUGUGAAAGCCCCGGGCUCAACCUGGGAACUGCAUCUGAUACUGUUUGACUAGAGUUUAGGAGAGGGAAGUAGAAUUUCAGGUGUAGCGGUGAAAUGCAUAGAGAUCUGAAGGAAUACCAGUGGCGAAGGCGACUUCCUGGCCUAGAACUGACGCUGAGGUGCGAAAGCGUGGGUAGCAAACGGGAUUAGAUA